rnacentral:tRNA from 1 species
GCCCUCGUAGCUCAGGGGAUAGAGCACCGGCCUCCGGAGCCGGUGGCGCAGGUUCGAAUCCUGCCGAGGGCGC